rnacentral:rRNA from 1 species
CCUACGGGGGGCAGCAGUGAGGAAUAUUGGUCAAUGGGCGUACGUCUGAACCAGCCAAGUCGCGUGAGGGAAGACUGCCCUAUGGGUUGUAAACCUCUUUUGUCAGGGAGCAAUUGGCGCUACGUGUAGCGUUAUCGAGAGUACCUGAAGAAAAAGCAUCGGCUAACUCCGUGCCAGCAGCCGCGGUAAUACGGAGGAUGCGAGCGUUAUCCGGAUUUAUUGGGUUUAAAGGGUGCGUAGGCGGAAUGCCAAGUCAGCGGUAAAAUCGCGGGGCUCAACCUCGCUCCGCCGUUGAAACUGGCGGUCUUGAGUGGGCGAGAAGUAUGCGGAAUGCGUGGUGUAGCGGUGAAAUGCAUAGAUAUCACGCAGAACUCCGAUUGCGAAGGCAGCAUACCGGCGCCCAACUGACGCUGAAGCACGAAAGCGUGGGUAUCGAACAGGAUUAGAUACCCGUGUAGUC